GGAGAAUCGCUGGAACCCAGGAGGUGGAGGUUGCAGUGCACCGAGAUCUUGCCACUGUACUCCAGCCUGGGCGACAGAGCGAGACUCCAUCUCUGUCCUCCACCCUCCUCUCAAAAAGAAUCGACCAAAGUUUGCAGUCAUCAGUCAUGUCAAGUGCAUGACACCUGCUUCUAUCUAGGCCCAGAUCUUCCACUUCUCCCUGCCUCUGGGCGAGGGGGUAACUAAAAACGGGGGUCGCUGGCCGGGAUGCGGGGACAGUGGGCCAGGCCCUCGGGCCCAGAGGGGAUCAUCCCGGGAGCUGCAGGCCGCAGUACCUGGUUCCUGCCAGUGACAGGGCGUCGCAAGCACAUCCAUGGAUGACGUCACCAACGCUCCACCGGUGCUUCCGCCCUGCAGGGAGCCGAGCGCGGGGAAGAGGGCGCGGCGCGGGGCCGUCACCACGCCAGGCUGCGGGCCGCUCAGUCAGUCCCUCCGCCCGGUGGGCCUGCGGGUUCUGGCUGAAACUGUUUCUCACUGGUCAAACUAUUAACUGCGUGCCUGAAAAUCUGUUAGGACAGGAAACAGGAAGAUAUUCUACCAAAGCCCCCGGUGGUACAAAUGGCGGAGUCUGUUCUGCCUCACUCGAACAGAAUUUGACCUCGCCUAUCAGAGAGUGCACGUGCCCAGGAAGGGCGUGCUCCUGGAGAAACACAGGCAGAAGGCGUGAAAGCCGGGGCAGCAGAGGCUCUUCAGGACUCAAGGGGCUUCUGUUGGUUACACAUUACCCUGAAUAGACACUCCUCUUUUUAUUUUUGAUUUAUUUGUUUAUUUUGUUGAGACAGAGUCUCAUUCUGUUGCCCAGGCUGGAGUACAGUGGCGUGAUCUCGGCUCCCUGCAACCUUUGCCUCCUGGGUUCAAGCGAUUCUCUUGCCUCAGCCUCCUCAAUAGCUGGGAUUAUAGGCGUGAGCCACUAUGCUCAGCUAAUUUUUUGAAUUUUCAGUAGAGAUGGGGUUUCACCAUGUUGGCCAGGCUGGUCUUGAACUCCCAACCUCAGGUGAUCUGCCCGCCUCGGCCUCCCAAAGUGCUGGGAUUACAGGUGUGAGCCACCAUGCCCAGCCGAUACCCCUCUUGUUAAAAACACCAUAACAUCAUUUUAACUUAUCAUUUUAACUGUGCUUUUUAAAAUAAAUGUGCAGUUGGUUUGUGGUAAGUAUAUUCACAUUGUUAUGAAACAGAUCUCCAGAACCUUUUCAUCUUGCAAAACUGAAACUCCAUCCCCAUUAAACAACUACUCCCCAUUUUCCCUCCCCAAAGCCCCUGGUAACCACCAUUCUGCUUUUCUGCUUCUACGAGAUUGGGCGCUCACGAUACCUCAUGUAAGUAGGAUCAUGCAGUAUUUGUCUUUUUGUAACUGAUUUCUGAAGACUUAGAGCAUGUCUUCAUGAGUCCUUCCUGUUGUAACAUGGAACAAGAUUGCCUUCCUUUCUAAGGCUGGAUCAUAUUCCAUUGUGCACACACCACAUCUGGUUUACUCAUUUAUCUGUCAGCAGUCACUUGGGUUGCCUCUAUUAAUACCUUUGGCAAUUGUAAGAAAUGCAGCUAUGUGCAUGGGUGUACAAGUAUCUUGAUGAGCCCCCACUUUCAGUUAUUUUGGAUAUGUACCCAGAAGUGGGAUUGCUGGAUCACAUGGUAAUUCAAAUUUUUAAUUUUUUUUAGGAAUCACCAUUCUGUUUUCCACGGUAGCUACACCAUUUUACAUUCUCACCAGCAGUAUAUAACAGUUUCAAUUUCUCCACAUCCUCACCAACACUUGUUAUUUUCUGGGUGGUUGUUGUUGUUAUUGUUGUUGUUGUUUUUGGUAGUAGCCAUCCUAACAGGUGUGAGGCGAUCUCUCAUUGUGGUUUUGAUUUGCUUUUCCCUAGUGAUGAGUGAUGUUGAGCAUCUUUUCACGUUCGUGUUGACCAUCCAUACAUCUUUAGAGAAAUGUCUAUUCAAGUUCUUUCCUAAUGAGACCACUCUCUUGGAUCACAGAAAAUGAGACCAGGCAGGCCAUAAAUAAUAUCCAGUGUUGUGCAGGAGCCAGCUUAUGUAUAAUGUGAAUAAAUAAAUCAAAGCUGUUGGAAAUUGGAAUUAUUUUGAGUCUUUUUUUGUUUGUUUGUUUUUUGAGGCAGAGUCUCGCUCUGUCGCCCGGGCUGGAGUGCAGUGGCACGAUCUCGGCUCACUGCAAGCUCCACCUCCCGGGUUUACGCCAUUCUCCUGCCUCAGCCUCCUGAGUAGCUGGGACUACAGGCGCCCGCCACCUCGCCCGGCUAGUUUUG
ensembl:lincRNA